rnacentral:rRNA from 1 species
UAGAGGAAGUAAAAGUCGUAACAAGGUUUCCGUAGGUGAACCUGCGGAAUGGAKSAUUAUUGGAAUAUAAUACGCUGAKGAGUUGUUGCUGGUUCCCUAGGGAGCAUGKGCACACUUGUMAUCUUUAUAUCACCACCUGUGSACCUUUUGUAGACCUGGAUAUCCUUCUGAAUGCCUGGCGUUCGGGUUUGGGGAUUGACUUUUUUUGUCUUUCCUUACAUUUCUAGGUCUAUGUUUUCAUCAUUAUACCCCAAUGUAUGUUACAGAAUGUAAUAAAAAGGGCCUUUGUGCCUAUAAUCUUAUACAACUUUCAGCAACGGAUCUCUUGGCUCUCGCAUCGAUGAAGAACGCAGCGAAAUGCGAUAAGUAAUGUGAAUUGCAGAAUUCAGUGAAUCAUCGAAUCUUUGAACGCACCUUGCGCUCCUUGGUAUUCCGAGGAGCAUGCCUGUUUGAGUGUCAUUAAUAUAUCAACCUCUUCAAGUUUUUGCUUGUUGAGUGUUGGAUGUGGGGGUAUAUUUUUGCUGGACUUUUUUUGAGAUCAGCUCCCCUGAAAUGUAUUAGCGGAACAUAUUGUUGAUCGUUAAUUGGUGUGAUAACUAU